GGUUGAUCCACAAAUAUGGCUGACUGGGCAGGUGUCUCUUUUCUCCCUCACCAUGUUGUAUCCUCUGUCAAGAGGAUGCCAUUCUUGAUAGAGAAGAAGUAGUCUUUCUCAAGGGCAGAUGAGAAGCUGCUCUCCUUUUGCUGGAGCCUCCAAAUUAGCCUCCACUGUCCAUCUGUAGGAGGACAGAAGGAAGCCAGGCUUGCAAGACCUCAGACACAUCAGGUGACACAAUGCAGGGGACUUUCUGAUUUUCUUU
rnacentral:snRNA from 1 species